rnacentral:lncRNA from 1 species
UAAUAAUAUCUCUGCCCUAGGGUACUAUAAUAACAUUAUAAUUUUGCAUCUAAAAUGUUACAAUUAACAUAAAAAUUGCCAACAUCUUAGACAAAUUUCAUUUUUAUCGUUCUAUUAUAAAGAAGUAGCAGAUGACAAUUUCCUAAUUCAUAUUUACUUCGACAAAUAACCGGUUACAAAUUUUGUUCCACAACCUUAGAUUACGCGUCCCCAGCUGACAUGUAAACAUCGCAUGCAUGCUUGUGCAUUAGAUUUUCUUUUUUUCUUUUCUUUUUUGGGAAACAAUGGUACUAAUGUUUAAACCUAUAACCACAUCCAAAUUGUUAUACUAGCACGUUCUUAGUGGUUCACUUGUGCAGUAGGGCAAUAAGCUGACAAACAUCGUCAUGUAUUACAUGUUGUUCUAGUUGCCUAACUCUUGAUUCAGCUUCUUCACACUUCUCUUCUGCAAGUGGAAGUUGUGGAUACACCUAUCAAAAUGGUGUGCCAAAAAAAGAAUGUAUAUAUUAAAACAAAAUCAUUUUUAUCAUGAACAAUUUCAUGUUCUUCAGCCGUAUUAUUAUUAUUAUUAUUAAAAGACAGCAGCAGUAUUCACAUGACUGCUAAGUAAGUUACAUCUAAUUUAUAGCCCAAAUUAUAUAUGAAACUAAAAAGAAGCUAUUUUAUCAAUAUCAAAAUCUGAACCGAACGUUCUUACAUUUGAAAUCAAGAAAACAGAUGUCACACGAUUUCUUUUUCAAAAAGCACAUAGCAUUACAUAUAUGAUAUGCGUUGGAGAGUAAAAUUUGUAUCUCAAUGUGAUCCCUAAUUAAUUUCAUUCAUGGCAUGCAUUUUGAACCUAUGAUUAAAAAAUUAUGUGAUAAGAGGGCUUUCUGGCAAAAAGGAGGAAAGCAUUGGUUUAUGCCCACCCGGCUGAAAGGAGGCUUUCUGGCCGGUGAAAAAGAGGAGAGAAGGGGAGAAGGAGCUCACAGCACUCUCAAGUGAGUUGGCAGGGACAGGGUCUUCUAUCAGGACUCGCAGACAACUUCCAAUGCCUUCCAGGCAGAAUGAAAAAGCUAUGGAAGGACGUCCAAAAGGGACUAUCUUCAUAGUAAAGAAGCUACGCAUGAUUCAUUAUCUGAUUUUGUCUUUUAUUGCUAAAAUCUGAUGGGUCUUACUAAAUAACCUAAGAUAUCUCUCUAUUAGUGAAGAAAUUAUUGUAUGGUAUUCUCUUCAUCCAUCUUCAUUUUGAAUUAAUUUACAUCUUGUUAGAAUAUAAGUAUGAGGUGAAAUCACACAUUAAAUGAAAGUAAAAAAACUGAGCACACUAUAUAAAUAAAGAAAAAAACUCAUAAAUUUAAACCUAAAGGUUUAAAUUAAAGUGUGGUGUCAAUUUUUUUUAAUAAUUAUUCAUGAUUCAUUGGUGUAAAUCUUUUCAAUUUUUAUUUCCUUCAAUUCCCCAACAUAUGUGACCAUUAUUAACUCUUUUUCAUAUUGAAAAAUAUGAUUACAUGUCACAUGGAACAACCACACCACAUAAUGUAACAUGAAAAUUAAUUUACUUAAUGAGUUGUAAAAAUUGGACUAGCAUUUCUCCUAUACAUUAAUUGGAAUUGAAAGAGUAAAAAAGUCAUAUUAUUACAUAAAUGCAGAAAAGAACCAAGAAGAGGAAGCAUAUGAUGAAUCCAUAGUGUCUAAUAAUUUCUUGGAAAAGAAAUGUAAAAGCAAAUAAGAACAGGAGCAGGCAGCAACAUACCUUCUAUCUUUUCUAAUAUCAAGAAGAGGAUCUAUGAAAAAUAUCUCCUCUUCGACAUCAAAAUAUUCUCAUGUUGACAAUAGAUAUUCAAAUUAGCUUGGGAAUGCAGGGAUUUCUGCAAUUCCUAGGUGUUCAAUGUACAUCCAAAUAAUUUAUAACUACACACAUUCAAGAUACUGAAUAUGAUGUUCAAUUACUGAGACAUCAAAAAGUCCCAUAAGUUAGCAAUAUUUUAGAGACAUACAAUAACAUUCUCCCAGCUGCAUACUUAAUUGGUUAAAUGGAGUACAUGAUAUGAGAAGGAGAAGUGAAUGCAAUCAUACCACAUUCUGGGCAACGGAGAUAGUCCUUUUCCUUUUCCCUAAGAACAAGCCCUGACCCUCCACACACCUCACAUCUUUUUUGAGCUAUCUGGAACAUAUCCAACAAUGAAGACAUGAAACACGGGCUUCAUAACUUAUGAGUUAGCAGCUCAACCAAAAAAAGUGACUUACAAUUAUUUUGCUAAAUUCAAUCCCUGCCACCACAAAAGGGGUAACCCCAGCUGCAAAAUACAAACACACAAAAUCAAAACCCAAUUCCUGAGCACCAUUCUCUUUCCAUAAAGAUAAGCACAAAACAUAACUGCAGUCUUUUGGUGCUGCUCUCUAAUCAGAAUUGAAGUUUCAUCUCGAUAACAUGUUGAAUGCAAAUCUUUAUUAAGCAGAUUGAUAAAAAAAAAAAAAUCUCUAAUUUGAUUUAAGAAUAACUAUAAAAAACACCCUAAUAAACUGCAUGCAUCCAAAGUUUUGUUUGUCCUAUAAAAACAAACAUCACAAGUAAAGUAAAAUAUCAAAGGUUGUGCUGUGUGACUUAAGGUACGUAUAGCUCCAAUUUGCCAUGUGACUUCCCCCGGAGCAGGGUCAAGUACUGUAGUUAUGAUUUUGAAAUCGUAAAAUAAAAAUAAAAAUUAAUGACUUUGAAGUUAUAAAUAAAAAAAAAUUAUAUUAAAAUCGUAAAUAAUAUAUGAUUUUAGUUAAAAAAUAAAAAUAAAUUGUAAUAAAUGUUACUACUUUUUUCACUAGGAAUAUGCACCCACUAGAUAUAUGAAUAUAAUUUUGAUAUAUAAAUAAGAAGACUAAAUAAAACAUGCCCCACCGACACGCGACGCCAUGCACGCCAACGCCGGAGUACAAACCAAAAUAUGAGACCUAAACGAUUCUCUUUGGAAAACACGAAGCGACAAAACUCAAAUGAAUUUUAUUACUUUAGACAAAAUAGAAUCAAAGUCACUAUCAACUCACCAUGCACGUAGCAAUGAACCUUUCCAUAUGUCAAAUUCACCACCAAUGCUAAACCCGUAAUUCUCCCCCAAACCCCAUGCAC